UUUCAGAUAACAAUACAAUAUAUAGAUAAGUUAUCUCUUUUUUAAAUUAUAUUUUUAGAUUUUGGAUAAUUCUUAUUAUUCUUAAUAUUAAUCAAUUAUCUAAUAAAAAUCAAUUAAAAUUUCAUUUUUAUUUUUUGAUUUAUUUAUACAUUUUAUUUAUUAAGGGUAUAAACGAUAUUAACCACUCUAACUUUCAACGUGAAAGCUCUAUUGCGAAAAUUUACUUUGCAAAUAAUAGUAUAGAUUGGAUUCGUUCUUAAACGAUAGCGUUUUAAUGCACCAGCUUCUUCCUUUUCUGUGUUCUGACUAUUGAGCCAGGCCCACCGACGACUUAUGUUAACAUAAAUUCAGUUGCCAUGUGUAUUAUACUAUUAUGUAAAGACAACAAAAUAAACCGUAUUUUUGUUUUGGUCUGAUAAAUUGAUAAACGUUUAAUUACUAUUUUGUUGUCAACGUUUCUCUCACUACAAAAAAAGUUGCUAUUCAUAGCACAUUGUUAUAGCACGUUUUACUGAACUGCUGUCGUUGAUGAGUGAAUUUUUUUUUUAGUAUAGGUUAGCAUUAUAUAAAUGCUAUGAUAGAGUUUUGCUAAGCGGGAAGCUAAAAUUAGCUUUUCCACGAAACACUUAGUAAAAAUUAGCUAAUAUUUUCUGUUUUCCCUCUCUCUAAUCGGGGUUCCCUCUCUUCUCUCUCAUUUUCCCCCUUUCUCGACAAAACUCUAAGAGAAAUCAAUCUGGAUUCUCCAUCUCCUUCUCUCUCGUUCUCUCUCUAUUUCCAUCUCUGUGUCGAUUCUCCAUCUCCGGUUCUCCAUCUCCGCCUCGAUUCUCCAUCUCCGCCUUGAUUCUCCAUCUCCUCCUCGAUUCUCCAUCUCCUCCUCGAUUCUCCAUCACUCUCCUUCAUCGCCGCUUCUCCCAGCUCCGAUUCAACUCCUGUUCUACAUCUCAUAGGUAUAGGAAGUCACAAUUUCGAUAUCUCUGUCAGUGUUAAUCUGAAAUCGAAGUUUUAUUUUUUUUGAUAUCUCUUAGCUUCAUCGCCGCUUUCUCUGUCAAUUGAUAUGUUGGUUGCUUUGAUUUCCUGUUUUAUUCCAGUUAUCUUUUUAUUUGGUUGGUAUCGUUUCAUGCUCUGAAUAUUUUUGCUAUAUCAUUACAUCCUCUGACUCUUAUGUGUUAUGUUAUAAGUUCGUUUUGUUACAAAAGGUUUCAACUUAGGUUCGAACACAGCAUUAUGGACAAAGCUUGGGUACAUCUAAACAGAGUUGAUCCUGGAUAUGAGAGAGGGGCUUCAAAGUUUGUCCGGGAUGUGGCUUCAGCAAUGGGAGGGGUUGAUGUUAUUGUAUGUCCGUGUAUUGACUGCCGUAACAUAGUUCGACAUUCAGCAAGUGUGGUACAACCAGAUUGUAUAUAUAAACCAGUAAACCACAAACAAAAACGUGUAAGAUCUUACACGUUUUUGUUUGUGGUUUACUGGUUUAUAUAUACAAUCUGGUUGUAAUUUCUAAAGUUGAUUGACAAAAUAAAUAUACUUCAAAUUUGUUAAAUUUUAAUGUAAAAUUAGUUGACUUUGCUGGAAAAAAAAACUUUGAAAUUAAUAUGUCUAUUUACAAAAAUAAAUUGAAAGUUAUAAUUUAGGGAAGAAGUUGACUUAAUAGUGAAUUCAUGAUUAUUGUUAAGUUGUAUUUUUGUCAUUAUUAAUUACGACGAAUAGUAUAAUUUGUCUCUGCACUUAGUCACGGAUCAUAAAUAAAGUUGUCAUCAUCCGUCCUUUUUCCCAUCUAAAAAUUUUCAUCGAUAACACAGAAAAAUACAUGGCGAAACACUCAAUCCGACAGAACAUGCACUAAUCUCGGAAAACCAAAUUUCAAUAGUGAAAAACUUAAGCUCAAAAAGAUAAAACAUGAGCAGCUAAACAAUACAAAUAAACCAUAACUACACCUUACUAAAAGAAUCCAAGAAACAAGGUAACAAGAAAUAAUAGAACAAAAAUUUAAUUGACUACGACUAGCCGGUCUUCUUGCUACGAACAAAGCAAGAGAGCAUGCACCGCAGAGGACUUCAUGAAGAAUAGCAUCACUCUCAUCUAAACCACUUGUUCACGAUGACUACACACAAACCACUUUGUGAAGCCAAAACAACACCUAAAGAGAAGCAACACCCGAUACAAAUUAAACUCCCUACUCAAUGUACCCUUUAUCUGGACGCUUCAAAGUCUUAAUCUCUUAUACUGCUUCAACACACAAAAGCCAUCAAAGAUAAACAAAAACCAAAACGACUACGAAAAUAACCUUAUUCAAGGGACGGAAAAAGACCCUUAGCAACAACAAGAUGGAGAGGUGUCCUGAAAUCAGCUUCUUCUCGAUGACAAUACCAACCAACUGUUCAUCCCAUGCCGCUGCUUCACGGUUGUUGAAUCAAAGACCAACUAAGAAAAACUCUACAAGAUGACCAAAACAGAAACUGAACGAAGAGGGACAUAAGGUUAAAACCUGGUAGAAUCCACCAUGAUAAAUCAACGACGAACGUCAACCAGCAAGUUCAGAACCACUAGAACAACAAUUCACGAACUCUUCAAUCCGGAAUCUUUCAUUUUUUCAGAUCCGAAGCUAUCGAGAAAACUUACCACACAAACUACAAUAGAAGAAGAAAAUACUCGGACUGGAUCGACGGUACACACGCCGACCAAAAGAGAAGCAACGUCGACUGCUGUAAGUUGAGGCAGAUGAGAUCAAGUUGCCACCAUCUACUUUUCAUUUUUUGGAUAACAUUAUACAAAAAAUUUCUGGUUGCCACUAUCUAAUUUUACAAUUAAAUAUUUUUAAAGAGUAAAAAGUAUAAAAAUGGACAAACUUAGACCAAGUGUUCAAAAUUGUUUUUACUAUGUUUUAUAAUGAUUACGAUUAUCAAUUUGAUUUUCUGAAUCAAGGUUUAGUUCGAAUUAGUAUAACUAGUAUUGAAAAAAAAGUAUACAAAUGAGAACGAAAGACUGAUAGUAGUGAACUAGAUGAUUAGUAAUGGAGAGUAAAUUAUUUAUUAAUAUAAUAUCAAAUGAUCACAAAAGUGGUUUCAUCUUCAACAUUUAAAGAAAGUUUUGGAGACUCUUCUCUCGGAUAUAUAUUAUCCAAACGGACCAAACCAUUGCUUCAUCUCCGACCUUUCAUUUUUAUGUAUUCUAGUGUAGGGUUCUAUAGCGUUUUAUAAUUUUUUUUGCGUUUUGUAAUUACUAUUGGAAAUUUUAUAAGAUAGCACUAAAAAAUUUUCUAUCACAAAUAUAGAUUCUAAGAAUCAAAAUGACCAAAAUGUUUCAUUAAAGAGAUAAAUAUACAUUUAUACUCCUAUGGUUAAUUAAUUCAAACUUUAGGAUUUAGAGUUAAGGGAUGGAGACUUGGGUUUGAGGUUUAAAAUUUUAUAAAAUAGAAAAUAAAAAUUUUAAAAAUAGUU